GUGGGGAAUAUUGCACAAUGGAGGAAACUCUGAUGCAGCGACGCCGCGUGAGUGAAGAAGUAAUUCGUUAUGUAAAGCUCUAUCAGCAGGGAAGAUAGUGACGGUACCUGACUAAGAAGCUCCGGCUAAAUACGUGCCAGCAGCCGCGGUAAUACGUAUGGAGCAAGCGUUAUCCGGAUUUACUGGGUGUAAAGGGAGUGUAGGUGGCCAUGCAAGUCAGAAGUGAAAAUCCGGGGCUCAACCCCGGAACUGCCUUUGAAACUGUAAGGCUGGAGUGCAGGAGGGGUGAGUGGAAUUCCUAGUGUAGCGGUGAAAUGCGUAGAUAUUAGGAGGAACACCAGUGGCGAAGGCGGCUCACUGGACUGUAACUGACACUGAGGCUCGAAAGCGUGGGGAGCAAACAGGAUUAGAAACCCUAGUAGUCC
rnacentral:rRNA from 1 species